rfam:Oryza glumipatula chromosome 4, whole genome shotgun sequence.
AAUAAGCGCAGGUUUACACUAUUCUACAACGUUUGAUUAUUUGUCUUAUUUAAAAAAAUAUUAGUAGUAUUUUUAUUGUUAUUAUAUAAUAAAACAUAAAUAGUAUUUUAUGUAUGACUAUUUUUUUUAUAUUUUUUCAGAUAAGACGGACGGUUAAACGUUGGACAUGGAUAGUGAUAGCUGCACUUAUA